rnacentral:hammerhead_ribozyme from 1 species
CUUCUGAUGAAGAGUCCCAAACUAGGACGAAACAGUUGUCCAAUAC